AGAGUUUGAUCAUGGCUCAGGACGAACGCUGGCGGCGUGCUUAACACAUGCAAGUCGAACGGUAAGGCCCUUCGGGGUACACGAGUGGCGAACGGGUGAGUAACACGUGGGUAAUCUGCCCUGCACAUCGGGAUAAGCCUGGGAAACUGGGUCUAAUACCGAAUAGGACCACAGGACACAUGUCCUGUGGUGGAAAGCUUUUGCGGUGUGGGAUGGGCCCGCGGCCUAUCAGCUUGUUGGUGGGGUGAUGGCCUACCAAGGCGACGACGGGUAGCCGGCCUGAGAGGGUGUCCGGCCACACUGGGACUGAGAUACGGCCCAGACUCCUACGGGAGGCAGCAGUGGGGAAUAUUGCACAAUGGGCGAAAGCCUGAUGCAGCGACGCCGCGUGGGGGAUGACGGCCUUCGGGUUGUAAACCUCUUUCACCAUCGACGAAGGUCCGGGUUUUCUCGGGCUGACGGUAGGUGGAGAAGAAGCACCGGCCAACUACGUGCCAGCAGCCGCGGUAAUACGUAGGGUGCGAGCGUUGUCCGGAAUUACUGGGCGUAAAGAGCUCGUAGGUGGUUUGUCGCGUUGUUCGUGAAAUCUCACGGCUUAACUGUGAGCGUGCGGGCGAUACGGGCAGACUUGAGUACUGCAGGGGAGACUGGAAUUCCUGGUGUAGCGGUGGAAUGCGCAGAUAUCAGGAGGAACACCGGUGGCGAAGGCGGGUCUCUGGGCAGUAACUGACGCUGAGGAGCGAAAGCGUGGGGAGCGAACAGGAUUAGAUACCCCGGUAGUCCAA
rnacentral:rRNA from 1 species